UACGGAGAACUCAAGCGUUACCCGGAAUCACUGGGCGUAAAGCGUUGCGUAGGCGGUUUGUUAAGUGAGAUAUGAAAUCCCAUGGCUCAACCAUGGAACUGUAUCUCAAACUAGCAAGCUAGAGGAUGGCAGAGGCGAGUGGAAUUGCUGGUGUAGGAGUGAAAUCCGUAGAUAUCAGCAGGAACACCGAUGGCGAAGGCAGCUCGCUGGGCCACUCCUGACGCUGAGGCACGAAAGCGUGGGUAGCGAACCGG
rnacentral:rRNA from 1 species